rnacentral:rRNA from 1 species
UACGGAGGGUGCAAGCGUUGUUCGGAAUUACUGGGCGUAAAGCGCACGUAGGCGGCUUUGUAAGUUAGAGGUGAAAGCCCGGAGCUCAACUCCGGAAUUGCCUUUAAGACUGCAUCGCUAGAAUUGUGGAGAGGUAAGUGGAAUUCCGAGUGUAGAGGUGAAAUUCGUAGAUAUUCGGAGGAACACCAGUGGCGAAGGCGGCUCACUGGUCCAUUACUGACGCUGAGGUGCGAAAGCGUGGGGAGCAAACAGG